ACUCGAGUGGCGAACGGGUGAGUAACACGUGGGUGAUCUGCCCUGCACUUCGGCAUAAGCCUGGGAAACUGGGUCUAAUACCGGAUAGGAGCCAUUUUUAGUGUGAUGGUUGGAAAGUUUUUCGGUGUAGGAUGAGCUCGCGGCCUAUCAGCUUGUUGGUGGGGUAAUGGCCUACCAAGGCGGCGACGGGUAGCCGGCCUGAGAGGGUGGACGGCCACAUUGGGACUGAGAUACGGCCCAG
rnacentral:rRNA from 1 species